CCUACGGGGGGCAGCAGUGGGGAAUUUUGGACAAUGGGGGCAACCCUGAUCCAGCCAUGCCGCGUGCGGGAAGAAGGCCUUCGGGUUGUAAACCGCUUUUGUCAGGAGAGAAAUCUCUUGGGCUAAUACCCUGAGAGGAUGACGGUACCUGAAGAAUAAGCCCCGGCUAACUACGUGCCAGCAGCCGCGGUAAUACGUAGGGUGCAAGCGUUAAUCGGAGUGAGUGGGGGUAAAUGUUGAGCAGAGGUGUGAAAUCCCCGGGCUUAACCUGGGAACUGCACUUGUGACUGCACGGCUAGAGUACGGCAGAGGGGGAUGGAAUGCCGCGUGUAGCAGUGAAAUGCGUAGAUAUGCGGAGGAACACCGAUGGCGAAGGCAGUCCCCUGGGCCUGUACUGACGCUCAUGCACGAAAGCGUGGGGAGCAAACAGGAUUAGAUACCCUAGUAGUC
rnacentral:rRNA from 1 species